CUGGGAUUACAGGCGUGAGCCACGGCGCCCGGCCGAUAAGUUUUAAAACAUAAUUUAUGGCCAGGCACGGUGGCUCACGCCUGUAAUCCCAGCACUUUGGGAGGCGGAGGCCGGCGGAUCGCGAGGUCAGGAGAUAGAGACCAUCCUGGCUAACACAGUGAAACCCCGUCUCUACUAAAAACACAAAAAAAUUAGCUGGGCGUGGUGGCGGGCCACCAUGUAGUCCCAGCUACUCGGGAGGCUGAGGCAGGAGAAUGGCGUGAACCCGGGAGGCGGAGCUUGCAGUGAGCCGAGAUGUGCCACUGCACUCCAGCCUGGGCAACAGAGUGAGACUCCAUCUCAAACAAACAAACAACAACAACAAAAAUAAUAAUUUCUCCCUCUCCAGUCAUAAACAACUUAUGAUAAGUUAAAAACAACUUAUGAUAGGACUGAGCUGUUUGCAAAAUAAACUUUAGUCUUAUACUUGGCCUGAUUAUUUGCAUAAAGUGCAGCAAGAAUAAUUACCUCUAUACAGGCCUUUUUGAUUGACUUUGAUGGAACUCUGUUCCACAAGGAAUCUUAGAUAGGAUUUUUAAAACCAAGCCCAGACAUGGGUUUGUACCUUUAAAUACACAUGAGUUGGGUAAAUUUUCUUCCUGAUGUUCCAGAAGCAUGGGGUUUUUGGCCUAUUAGAAAGUGACAUUCUUUACUUACCACAGGUCAGGAACCCCCCCGUACAGAGACUCUGUAGACAAGUAUGAGGUCAGUUUUUUUAAGAGGCUUUUAUUGGCUUUGCAAGUCAAGCUUGCUUCACACCCUUCCAGUCAAAGCUUUGGUAAAACAACCAGUUUUUCCCAUUGUGUUUUGUUGCAAAAGAGAAUGGAUUCUUGUUGCACUUAUGCAAACAACUAUAUUGUUGUAAUUUAAGAAUACUUAUAAUUAGUUUCCAAAUGUUAGAGGAACUAGGCAGAGAGAAACAAACAUGCUUUAAAUCUUGUUUAUGGGAGUAUAACUUGUUUAGUUGUUGAAAACUUUUAAGACAGUUUCCUUGACUUUGAAAAACAAAAUAAGGAUUAGCAGUGUUCCAAGCAUAAAUUAAGAAUAUUGCCUUAGUUUUCUAUUAGUUUAGUCCAUUUUGUUAACUCUUGUUCUGCUUGAUAUUCAUAAACAUUUUAGGUUUUUAAUGAGUCCUGUACAUUUUUCUGUUAUUAGAAACCUGCAUUUAUUAUUAGAAUUAUUAGAGCACCUGUUAAGGUUUCACAGCUUGAUUAUAAACCGUAUUCUGAAGAGAAUUAAAACAAGACAACAAUUGUCUGUAAAUGACAAAAAUAUCCAGUUUGGAUACAGUCAGAAACACAAUUGACAAAGAAAUUUGGUUAUUUUUGUGGUUGACAAUAACACAACAUAACAACCUUAACUGUGACUGAUAGCACAUAUUUAGACAUUAGACAUCCCAUACAGUUUUGGAACACAUGCUAAUAUUAUUCCCUAAAUAUAACCUGAAGAGUAUUAGACAUUAUUUUGGCAAUUCCAUGUACCUAAACAUGUUAAAUAAUUCUGUUUACUUUUCUUCCAGAUGCUCCAGGGGCCCUCUGCAGCACCCGAAAGCUAAGGGAUUAGGAAAGACAAGCUUGAGACUAAAGUUUGAUUUGGGAAACCUGUUAAACAUGUUUAGAAUUUAAAACACUUGAUAUUAUGAAAUAGAAUUUUAGAUUACCAUAAGUUAUUUGUUUUGCCAAAAUAAUGAGUCAAAAAUUUGAAACAGCAAAAACCAUCCAUCAGUCUUUUGUAUUACAUGAAAAUCCUGUUCAAGAGAGAAAGUUAAAUUUCACCUUUGCAUUAGUUUGCUGUUAAUGUUAACCCUAAUUUUUAAUGAAACCUUACAGACAAUCCUAUUUAAUCUUAACCAGUUUGACUAUGAAGUGAGAUUUUCACAGACCUUUUAUAACUCUCUGCAAGUUUUGCUAAAGAGCAGAUUGUCAUCUUAAGAAAACCUUGGGCCAGGUGCGGCAGCUGAUGCCUGUAAUCCCAGCACUUUGGGAGGCCAAGGUGGCCAGAUCACGAGGUCAGGAGUUCGAGGCCAGCCUAACCAACAUUGAGACAUUCUGUCUCUACUAAAAACACAAAAAAUUAGCCAGGCGUAGUGG
rnacentral:lncRNA from 1 species